rnacentral:tRNA from 1 species
UCCCUGGUGGUCCAGUGUUUAGGAUUUGGGUCUUUCACUGCCGUGGGCCCAGGUUCAAUCCCUGGUCAGGGAA